rnacentral:rRNA from 1 species
UACGGAGGGGGCUAGCGUUGUUCGGAAUUACUGGGCGUAAAGCGCGCGUAGGCGGACCUGCAAGUCGGGGGUGAAAGCCCGAGGCUCAACCUCGGAACUGCCUUCGAUACUGUCGGGCUCGAGUCCGGAAGAGGCGAGUGGAAUUCCUGGUGUAGCGGUGAAAUGCGCAGAUAUCAGGAGGAACACCAAUGGCGAAGGCAGCUCGCUGGGACGUGACUGACGCUGAGACGCGAAAGCGUGGGGAGCAAACAGG